rnacentral:rRNA from 1 species
CACCGGCAGCUCUAGUGGUAGCCAUUUUUAUUGGGCCUAAAGCGUUCGUAGCCGGUUUGAUAAGUCUCUGGUGAAAUCCUAUAGCUUAACUGUGGGACUUGCUGGAGAUACUAUUAGACUUGAGGUCGGGAGAGGUUAGCGGUACUCCCAGGGUAGGGGUGAAAUCCUGUAAUCCUGGGAGGACCACCUGUGGCGAAGGCGGCUAACUGGAACGAACCUGACGGUGAGGGACGAAAGCCAGGGGCGCGAACCG